AUAGCCGUUUAUUCCCGUCUUUUCUACGCGUAAUUCCCCUUUUUUAAGGAUUUGAUGGCAGAACAUGGAUUGAAGUUAAAGGACAUUAUGAUAACGAUAGUAAAAUGUGCUCGAGUUGCAAAGCCAGAAAAGAAAGAAGUUUGAGGUAUAAGGAAUGUACCAAUGCGUAAAUCGCAAGAAACGAAUAAAAACUUUGUAAAUUAAGUUAUUCACUAAUCACUGUACUUACAUCUAAAGCGCCUAUGCUUUAUAAACUGUUACUUGAAGCACAAAAUUGAAUAACUUAGCUUAGUAAAAACCUAGUAAUCAGUCUUGCACCUAAAAUUUGUCCAGAUAUUUAUUUUGAAUAUCUAAUGUUACUGUAGUUGGUUUUUGUCCGUAUAUUCUGAUCACAGUAAACCCUGCAUAUGAAAAACCUAGUUAUCUUUUCAAGCUAGCCUACCAGGUUCAAAUUUAAAUGGUGCAUAUAGAGGGAUUAGGCUUCUAGCUUCUUAUCUGAAUAUACAAAGAUGGAGGAGGAGGCAGUUCUUUUGGAAAACCGUAAUGACGCCAAAAAGGGUAAUGUUCAAAAGCUGUUAAAGUUGUUAUA